GGUGGGUGAAUCAGUGGUAGGUUGUUGUGGUUGCUGGGUGUUGAGUUAUAAAUCAGAAGGUUAUGGGUUCAAAUCCCACCACCACCA
rnacentral:tRNA from 1 species